AAUCUACCGUAUGCAUAACUGUUGGCAUAUGUUUUAUGAAGGAUGUGUUAUGGAGUCGUUGAAUCGAUAACAUAAUUCAUGCCCUCUCUGCCGCCAACCUGUUUACCAAUAACAAGAGACUAUAAUUAGGGUUUCA
rnacentral:sRNA from 1 species